UGCAGUCGANGGCAGCGCGGGGCAACCUGGCGGCGAGUGGCGAACGGGUGAGUAAUAUAUCGGAACGUGCCCUGGAGUGGGGGAUAACGCAGCGAAAGUUGCGCUAAUACCGCAUACGAUCUAAGGAUGAAAGCGGGGGAUUCGCAAGAACCUCGUGCUCCUGGAGCGGCCGAUAUCUGAUUAGCUAGUUGGUGGGGUAAAGGCCUACCAAGGCAUCGAUCAGUAGCUGGUCUGAGAGGACGACCAGCCACACUGGAACUGAGACGCGGUCCAGACUCCUACGGGAGGCAGCAGUGGGGAAUUUUGGACAAUGGGCGAAAGCCUGAUCCAGCAAUGCCGCGUGAGUGAAGAAGGCCUUCGGGUUGUAAAGCUCUUUUGUCAGGGAAGAAACGGUGAAGGCUAAUAUCCUUUGCUAAUGACGGUACCUGAAGAAUAAGCACCGGCUAACUACGUGCCAGCAGCCGCGGUAAUACGUAGGGUGCAAGCGUUAAUCGGAAUUACUGGGCGUAAAGCGUGCGCAGGCGGUUUUGUAAGUCUGUCGUGAAAUCCCCGGGCUCAACCUGGGAAUUGCGAUGGAGACUGCAAGGCUAGAAUCUGGCAGAGGGGGGUAGAAUUCCACGUGUAGCAGUGAAAUGCGUAGAGAUGUGGAGGAACACCGAUGGCGAANGCAGCCCCCUGGGUCAAGAUUGACGCUCAUGCACGAAAGCGUGGGGAGCAAACAGGAUUAGAUACCCUGGUAGUCCACGCCCUAAACGAUGUCUACUAGUUGUCGGGUUUUAAUUAACUUGGUAACGCAGCUAACGCGUGAAGUAGACCGCCNGGGGNGUACGGUCGCAAGAUUAAAACUCNNGGAAUUGACGGGGACCCGCACAAGCGGUGGAUGAUGUGGAUUAAUUCGAUGCNNCGCGAAAAANCNUUACCUACC
rnacentral:rRNA from 1 species